UCCCUGGUGGCUCAGUGGUAAAGAAUCUGCCUGCAAUGCAGGAGACCUGGGUUCGAUCCCUGGGUUGGGAA
rnacentral:tRNA from 1 species